rnacentral:lncRNA from 1 species
AGGGGGCUGGCGCCACAAAGGGGGCUGGCGACACAACGAAAAGCUCACGCAGUUCGGAGAACUACGGAACCAAGUCCACGCACCUACACCACCGCACCAAGCAGCGAUAUACCAUACGUAAAAACCUACAAUAUAGUAAUAGCUAAAGAAAUAAGAUCACAGGCGUGCAUGCGGCGAAGAUGUCGUGCCCUAAUUAGAAUUCCUAGAAAAGAGGGGAGGUGCGCAAAGGCGACCAAAAAACUAGAGAGGGGGAUCGUUCUGCGCAACGAUCGACCCCUAUAAAAACGGCGACCGAUCACUCGAUCGCUCUCUUGUGUUUCUACCUCCAGAUUCGUCAUCUAGUUCCGGUACAGUCUCGCGGUAAAAUCCUUUAGCCUUUUGCAUUAAAACUUUCAUACAACGUUACUCUGCCCAAAAGUUCAGCGAGCUUCAACUCCAUUUUUACUAAGUCUAAGAUCUUACACUGUGUAACUCUGCGUUUGUGACUUUUAAAUAUCAAACUUAUAAAAUAAACCAAGUUAGUCAAAAUAUCCAAAUAUAUUAAAGUCAGUUAUUCCACUAAAACCUCUCACCAAUCUACAAGUCAUCGCAUCCAGAAUACUCUCAAAAAGGUAAGCCAAAUUAAAUCUUUUAUCCAACAAUUUCUCCCUCUUCGGUUCGUUCGACUAGAGCGACAGAAUGCCCGUUGUCCGGUGUAUUUCAAUACUUAAUCGGUAAUUGGUGACCCAAACUACUGAUGUGAGUCUGGCUGUAGCUGCGUGUGAAUAGAUCGCAAGAGCACA